rnacentral:tRNA from 2 species
GCUGGCUUAGCUCAAUCUGGUAGAGCAACUGACUUGUAAUCAGUAGGUUGGGAGUUCGAUUCUUCUAGCCAGCACCA